rnacentral:rRNA from 1 species
CAUGACAGUGGCGCACGGGUGCGUAACGCGUAUGUUACCUACCCAUUAGUGGGGGAUAGCCCGGGGAAACCCGGAUUAAUACCGCAUAAGAAGAGUGAAUGGCAUCAUUUACUUUUGAAACUUUUAUGGCUAAUGGAUGGGCAUGCGUUAGAUUAUCUAGUUGGCGGUGUAACAGACCACCAAGGCAAUGAUCUAUAGGGGUUCUGAGAGGAAGAUCCCCCACACUGGUACUGAGAUACGGACCAGACUCCUACGGGAGGCAGCAGUAGGGAAUAUUGGGCAAUGCCCGCAAGGGUGACCCAGCCAUGCCGCGUGCAGGAAGAAGGCCUUCUGGGUUGUAAACUGCUUUUGGAAGGGAACAAAACGGGCCUGCGGGCCAACUUGAGUGUACCUUCAGAAUAAGCACCGGCUAACUCCGUGCCAGCAUCCGCGGUAAUACGGAGGGUGCAAGCGUUGUCCGGAUUUAUUGGGUUUAAAGGGUGCGUAGGCGGCUUAUUAAUUCAGGGGUGAAAGACUAUUGCUUAACAAUGGCAGUGCCUUUGAUACUGAUAUGCUUGAGUACAGCUGAGGCAGAUGGAACGGGUGGUGUAGCGGUGAAAUGCAUAGAUACCAUCCAGAACACCUAUUGCGAAGGCAGUCUGCUAAACUGUAACUGACGCUGAGGCACGA